rnacentral:rRNA from 1 species
AUGAACAACAUCUUUCCCACAUCAGUUCUUGACGAUGACAACCUUCUGGUAGAGAUCCUUACUAGGCUAUCAUGCACUCGUUCACUUAUCCACAGCUCAGCUGUUAAUCCCCAAUGGAUGUCAGUGUCUAGAACCCAGUCAUUCCUUCAGGCAUACGCUCGUCGGAAUCGCCCGACCGUGGUCGGAUUCUUGGUCGAGUUCGAUCAUGGUUACAGUCACCAUUUUCGUGUUGUGGAUGCAUUAGCUUUGCAAGGUGAGUCAACUAGAGCUCUGCUUCAUUCCCGUAUAGAUGAUUAUUCUCUCUCCCGGAAACGCAUACUGUCAUGUGAAUCUGGUGAGCUCCUAGUGAGUUUUCCAAGACCUCCCUUUGUUUCCUCUUAA